GAUGAAGAACGCAGCGAAAUGCGAUAAGUAAUGUGAAUUGCAGAAUUCAGUGAAUCAUCGAAUCUUUGAACGCACCUUGCGCUCUUUGGUAUUCCGAAGAGCAUGCCUGUUUGAGUGUCAUGAAAAUAUCAACCUUGACUUGGGUUUUGUGCUCUAGUCUCGGCUUGGAAUUGGGUGCUUGCCGCCUUUACGAGCGGCUCACCUUAAAUGUAUUAGCUGGAUCUGUCUUUGAGACUUGGUUUGACUUGGCGUAAUAAGUAUUUCGCUAAGGACAUUCUUCGGAGUGGCCUCGUUUCUAGGACGCUUGUCCGCUUUCCAAUACAAGUUCCACCUCGUGGACAUGACUUUUUAUUAUCUGGCCUCAAAUCAGGUAGGACUACCCGCUGAACUUAAGCAUAUCAAUAAGCGGAGGA
rnacentral:misc_RNA from 1 species